rnacentral:lncRNA from 1 species
GUUCCAAUGUGAUCUAAGCUACAUGUAUUAUCAUCUGUGCUCAAGUCUGCAUAGCUAUUUGAUGUUUCAAUAGUGGUGUUAAAAAAUGUGGUAGAAAAGUUUGGCAUGCCACAUUUAAUGCAUUCACAAGAGAUGUUGCUAUUAUUUAGGAUUUUAUACAUGUGCUGAUCAAUACCUUCACAUUUGAUGUGAUACCAUUCAUCACAUGUGUCACAGCAGACUGCCUUUUG